AUUGAACGCUGGCGGCAUGCUUUACACAUGCAAGUCGAACGGUAACAGGCCGCAAGGUGCUGACGAGUGGCGAACGGGUGAGUAAUGCAUCGGAACGUGCCCAGUCGUGGGGGAUAACGCAGCGAAAGCUGCGCUAAUACCGCAUACGAUCUAUGGAUGAAAGCGGGGGGACCGUAAGGCCUCGCGCGAUUGGAGCGGCCGAUGUCAGAUUAGGUAGUUGGUGGGGUAAAGGGCUCACCAAGCCAACGAUCUGUAGCUGGUCUGAGAGGACGACCAGCCACACUGGGACUGAGACACGGCCCAGACUCCUACGGGAGGCAGCAGUGGGGAAUUUUGGACAAUGGGCGCAAGCCUGAUCCAGCAAUGCCGCGUGCAGGAAGAAGGCCUUCGGGUUGUAACUAGCUUUGUACGGAACGAAAAGGACGUCUGGUUAA
rnacentral:rRNA from 1 species